rnacentral:tRNA from 1 species
CCUCGGCGUGGACGGCGGUGACGCGGCCGACCGCGUCGAGGUCGAAGUGGCGCGGGCCGUUCAACUGGUCGUCGAGGAC